rnacentral:rRNA from 1 species
UACGUAGGGUGCAAGCGUUAAUCGGAAUUACUGGGCGUAAAGCGUGCGCAGGCGGUUGUUUAAGUCUGUCGUGAAAUCCCCGGGCUCAACCUGGGAAUUGCGAUGGAGACUGCACGGCUAGAGUGUGUCAGAGGGGGGUAGAAUUCCACGUGUAGCAGUGAAAUGCGUAGAUAUGUGGAGGAACACCGAUGGCGAAGGCAGCCCCCUGGGAUAACACUGACGCUCAUGCACGAAAGCGUGGGGAGCAAACAGG